rnacentral:rRNA from 1 species
UAGGGAAUCUUCCACAAUGGACGCAAGUCUGAUGGAGCAACGCCGCGUGAGUGAAGAAGGUUUUCGGACCGUAAAGCUCUGUUGUUGGUGAAGAAGGAUAGAGGUAGUAACUGGCCCUUUAUUUGACGGUAAUCAACCAGAAAGUCACGGCUAACUACGUGCCAGCAGCCGCGGUAAUCGUAGGUGGCAAGCGUUGUCCGGAUUUAUUGGGCGUAAAGCGAGCGCAGGCGGAAGAAUAAGUCUGAUGUGAAAGCCCUCGGCUUAACCGAGGAAUUGCAUCGGAAACUGUUUUCUUGAGUGCAGAAGAGGAGAGUAGAACUCCAUGUGUAGCGGUGGAAUGCGUAGAUAUAUGGAAGAAUACCAGUGGCGAAGGCGGCUCUCUGGUCUGCAACUGACGCUGAGGCUCGAAAGCAUGGGUAGCGAACAGGAUUAGAUACCCUGGUAGUCCAUGCCGUAAACGAUGAGUGCUAAGUGUUGGGAGGCUUCCGCCUCUCAGUGCUGCAGCUAACGCAUUAAGCACUCCGCCUGGGGGAGUACAACCGCAAGGUUGAAAC